UACGAACUGUGCGAACGUUAUUCGGAAUCACUGGGCUUACAGGGUGCGUAGGCGGCUCAACAAGUCAGGUGUGAAAGCCCCCGGCUCAACCGGGGAACUGCGCUUGAAACUGUUAGGCUCGAGUCAGCUAGAGGUACACGGAACUUCCAGUGGAGCGGUGAAAUGUGUUGAUAUUGGAAGGAACACCGGAGGCGAAAGCGGUGUACUGGGGCUGGGUCUGACGCUGAGGCACGAAAGCCAGGGGAGACGAACGGG
rnacentral:rRNA from 1 species